AUACGUAGGGGGCGAGCGUUGUCCGGAAUGAUUGGGCGUAAAGGGCGCGUAGGCGGCCCGGUAAGUCUGGAGUGAAAGUCCUGUUUUUAAGAUGGGAAUUGCUUUGGAUACUGUCGGGCUUGAGUGCAGGAGAGAUAAGUGGAAUUCCCAGUGUAGCGGUGAAAUGCGUAGAGAUUGGGAGGAACACCAGUGGCGAAGGCGACUUACUGGACUGUAACUGACGCUGAGGCGCGAAAGUGUGGGGAGCAAACAGGAUUAGAUACCCUGGUAGUCCACACUGUAAACGAUGAAUGCUAGGUGUAGGGGGUAUCGACCCCUUCUGUGCCGCAGUCAACACAAUAAGCAUUCCGCCUGGGGAGUACGGCCGCAAGGUUGAAACUCAAAUGAAUUGGCGGGG
rnacentral:rRNA from 1 species